GCAGUGGUGGCUUGGUGGUAGAAUUCCUGCUUUCCAUGCAGGAGACCCAGGUUCAAUUCCCCGCCAAUACA
rnacentral:tRNA from 1 species